AACGAAAGAGUUUUGGGUUCGAAAAAUUUUGACGGUGGCGACCCCCCAAUUUCUUCAGAGCGUGGUGGUCACCAUCAAAAACUAAUUUAAUUCUGUGCGGUGGCCACCAAUGCGGCGGCGCUACGGUAUUUUCCCCAAAUUCACCACCAAAAGUUCGGUGUUUGUACAGUAGUACGACGUGUAGGACUCUGUAUAGUACUUGUGUUAUGGAAAAUUUGUACAGCGUGACACAAGACGUUCCUGGAACUUUGUUCCGGAUUCGUCUGUCAGAUGGCUGAAUCCUCAGAGUUCUGAUUUUUUUUAUUAGUGAAAAAUGAUAAAAUUAGUGUUUUUUCAAGCAAUUGACCAGCAGGAUUCCAGAGAGCAGUACAGAAAAACUGGAGUGCACCGAGUCAGCACUUAUUGAGAGCCAGCAGGACUAUAAACUUACGUCAAAUGACGAGAAGGACGGACAUAAGCGGUUAGGAAAACAUCGGCAGAAAACAUAAUUUCUAAUUAAUUUUAAUACAUUUUUCAAAUUUUCUCGAUUUUGUAUGGUAUUCGCACUUUCACGAUUUAAGUAGCACAUUUUGCAUUUGGGUAUAUUGAGAUGGCAACCCUAAAACAUUAUACUUCUUUCGUAUUUUAAUAAUUAAUAUUUCAAGUGGAACUUUUUACAAGUGAUCUAUGAUGUCGGAGUUAGAUUGGACUGCUCAUAUUUAACACAUAACUUUCGUUCUAAAAUAUAUAUAUUUUUUUGUUUUUAUUUCUAUAAGUAACUGAAUUGCCGUCACUUAUUGAGAUAUAGAAAUGUCAUUUCCUGGACAUAUUUUCUGUCUUUCCCUACGUUGUUUUUGUGUUUAAAUGUAAAUAAUUUUAUAUUAUACAACUUUCUAAAACAUAACAAAAAACAGUUUCUAUAUUUGAGAAAAAAAAUGAAUCUUUGAUGCAAAACAUGUUAUUUUAGCGCGAUACGCCACUCUUAUUCUUAGAAAAUACCAGUAUUACACAUAAUAUUUCUGGAGAUUUGACUCAGAUUUUUCACAAAUGUGACACUUUGCAUGGAUUAAUACAAGAACACUUUUUUUUAAUAAAAUACUAAUCAAUAGUUAAUUAUUAUUGAAAGAAAUAGUUUUUUGUGCCUAAUUAUCAUUUAAUUUUUAUUACUAGAAUGAAUGAAACGCCAUUCUUUAAUAAUCUUUUUAGGAAAAUCAGCAAAAAAUAUUUAUGAAAAUUUAAAAUUAAGGAAAAUGUUCAGUAUAAACCUUUUUAAGAUAAAACCGGAUUUAAAAUGUACACAAUUUUCUAUCUAAUUAUGUAAUGAAAAAUUAAAAAAUAUCAAAAAUGCUCAAAAUGCCACUAAAAUCGCGAAAGUACGAUAUAAAUAACAUAAAAAUUUGUAAUUAAAUUAAUUAAUUGUAUUUUAUAAAUUUAAAUGCAAAUAAAUUUAAUUUUAGUAUA